CACGGGGUAACCGCCUGUAAGACUGGAUAACUCCGGAAACCGAGCUAAUACCGGAUAGUUCCUGAACCGCAUGUUCACGGAUGAAAGACGGUUCCUGUCACUUACAGAUGACCCGCGCGCAUUAGCUAGUUGUGAAGUAACGGCUCACCAAGGCGACGAUGCGUAGCCGACCUGAGAGGGUGAUCGGCCACACUGGRACUGAGACACGGCCCAGACUCCUACGGGAGGCAGCAGUAGGGAAUCUUCCGCAAUGGACGAAAGUCUGACGGAGCAACGCCGCGUGAGUGAUGAAGGUUUUCGGAUCGUAAAGCUCUGUUGUUAGGGAAGAACAAGUGCAAGAGUAACUGCUUGCGCCUUGACGGUACCUAACCAGAAAGCCACGGCUAACUACGUGCCAGCAGCCGCGGUAAUACGUAGGUGGCAAGCGUUGUCCGGAAUUAUUGGGCGUAAAGGGCUCGCAGGCGGUUUCUUAAGUCUGAUGUGAAAGCCCCCGGCUCAACCGGGGAGGGUCAUUGGAAACUGGGAAACUUGAGUGCAGAAGAGGAGAGUGGAAUUCCACGUGUAGCGGUGAAAUGCGUAGAGAUGUGGAGGAACACCAGUGGCGAAGGCGACUCUCUGGUCUGUAA
rnacentral:rRNA from 1 species